GCCCGGAUGGCGGAACAGGUAGACGCAAGAGACUUAAAAUCUCUCGGCCGCAAGGCCGUGCCGGUUCGAUUCCGGCUCCGGGCA
rnacentral:tRNA from 1 species